rnacentral:rRNA from 1 species
UACGUAGGGGGCGAGCGUUGUCCGGAUUUAUUGGGCGUAAAGAGCUCGUAGGCGGUUUGGCAAGUCGGGUGUGAAAACUCCGGGCUCAACUCGGAGACGCCACUCGAUACUGCCAUGACUCGAGUCCGGUAGGGGAGUGCGGAAUUCCUGGUGUAGCGGUGAAAUGCGUAGAUAUGCGGAGGAACACCGAUGGCGAAGGCAGCCUCCUGGGAUAACACUGACGCUCAUGCACGAAAGCGUGGGGAGCAAACAGG